rnacentral:lncRNA from 1 species
GUGGAAGGAAGUCCGGAGACCGAAAGGCCAUCUCUCAGGCCAGCCUUUUCUUGGUUUCUGACUCUCAGAACUAUGGACACUUCCUUCCUAUUUCAGCUUUCUCACAGCUUCUGAACCUAGCCCUGUCUUCAGAACUGUUGUCAACAGAAUGAUAGUGAAGGAUUAGCUGUGGGAUGAUGGUGGGGCUUGAUCUGAAACAGUGGCUUACGAGUGACGCACCCUACUGGAUGUGAGAAUGAUGGGAGACAAGAACACAAAUGAUGCUGGCCUGACAUCCCCCUGGCUUGUAAAAGAUGACACAUUCUUCUCUGGAUAAACCAGCUUCCAUG